UGGGGAAUUUUGCACAAUGGAGGAAACUCUGAUGCAGCGACGCCGCGUGAGUGAUGAAGAUCUUCGGAUUGUAAAACUCUGUCCUUAGUGAAGAUAAUGACAGUAACUAAGAAGCAAGCCCUGGCUAAAUACGUGCCAGCAGCCGCGGUAAUACGUAUGGGGCAAGCGUUGUCCGGAAUUAUUGGGCGUAAAGGGUACGUAGGCGGUUUAAUGAGUCCUAAUUAAAAGGCUAUGGCUCAACCAUAGUAUGGUUAGGAAACUGUUGAACUUGAGUAGAUGAGGGGAAAGUGGAAUUCCAUGUGUAGCGGUGAAAUGCGUAGAUAUAUGGAGGAACACCAAUGGCGAAGGCAACUUUCUGGAAUCAAACUGACGCUGAGGUACGAAGGCGUGGGGAGCAAACAGG
rnacentral:rRNA from 1 species